AGCCCGCCUAGCUCAAUCGGAUAGAGCGUCAGACUCUUACAAUGCCAGGCGGUGGAGUGCGUAAUCUGAAGGCUGGGGGUUCGACCCCCCCGGGCUA